rnacentral:tRNA from 1 species
GCGCCCGUAGUUCAACUGGAUAGAACAUUAGCUUGCGGAGCUAACGGUUACAGGUUCGAGUCCUGUCGGGCGCA